AAAUACUCUCGGCAACGGAUAUCCCGGCUCUCGCAUCGAUGAAGAACGUAGCGAAAUGCGAUACUUGGUGUGAAUUGCAGAAUCCCGUGAACCAUCGAGUCUUUGAAUGCAAGUUGCGCCCGAAGCCAUUAGGCCGAGGGCACGUCUGCCUGGGUGUCACUC
rnacentral:rRNA from 1 species